rnacentral:lncRNA from 1 species
UCAGUUUUCUCUCAUGUGAGAACUUUUCCCUCUUGCUUAUGAAUUUAGGCACCUCCUUGUGGAUUCAAGGGUUGAAGACUCCGAAUCUGUGGAUUCAGAGGUUGGUUUCUUCCCCAAGAUUUGAGCUUUGUGGAUUCAAGCCCAUAUCUUGUUUAUCUUCUAAUUUUGUGGUGGGACAUUUUUUAGGUCUCCUAGAUGGCUAUAAGUAGAAUAAGAUUUUACUCUUUGAUGCAUCCCAUUAGAGAGAGUUGGGGUUACUAGGGGAAAUUCAUUAUUCGGUUG